AUGCUUACAGGAGGAGAGAUGCCAUGAUUAGGAAGGUGGUUUUCCCAGGGCAAGGCUUACUUACCCAUUGCACUCGGGAUGUGCAGACCCUGUGAUUUCCCCAAACUCAGCAAACUCCAAUGCAUAAUUUGUGGUAGUGAAAGACUGCUCUUAUGAUUUUCC
ensembl:snRNA Gm23054 predicted gene, 23054